AGGUUAAGCUAGUAAGAGCGCACGGAGGAUGCCUAGGCACCAGGAGCCGAAGAAGGACGUGGCGAACAACGAUACCGCCUCGGGGAGCCGUAAGCAGGCUUUGAUCCGGGGAUUUCCGAAUGGGGAAACCCAGCUGGGGUAAUGCCCAGUUACUAUCAACUGAAUACAUAGGUUGAUGAGAGGCAUACCGGGGGAACUGAAACAUCUAAGUACCCCGAGGAAGAGAAAACAAAAGUGAUUCCGUCAGUAGCGGCGAGCGAACGCGGAUUAGCCCAAACUUACGGAUUUAUCCGUAGGGGUUGUAGGACAUCUCACAUGGAGUUACAAAGGAAUGGGUUAGGCGAAGAGGUCUGGAAAGGCCCGCCAUAGCAGGUAAAAGCCCUGUAACCAAAAGCCAGCACUCUCCGAGGUGUAUCCUGAGUACGGCGGGACACGUGAAACCCCGUCGGAAUCCGGCAGGACCAUCUGCCAAGGCUAAAUACUCCCUGGUGACCGAUAGUGAAGCAGUACCGUGAGGGAAAGGUGAAAAGCACCGCGGGAGCGGAGUGAAAAAGAACCUGAAACCGUGCGCUUACAAGAAGUCAGAGCCCUUUCUAUGGGUGAUGGCGUGCCUUUUGUAGAAUGAACCGGCGAGUUACGAUCCCGUGCAAGGUUAAGGUGGAAAGCCGGAGCCGCAGCGAAAGCGAGUCUGAAUAGGGCGAUUUGAGUACGUGGUCGUAGACCCGAAACCGUGUGAUCUACCCCUGUCCAGGGUGAAGGUGCGGUAACACGCACUGGAGGCCCGAACCCACGAAUGUUGAAAAAUUCGGGGAUGAGGUGGGGGUAGCGGAGAAAUUCCAAUCGAACUCGGAGAUAGCUGGUUCUCCCCGAAAUAGCUUUAGGGCUAGCCUCGGAUAUGAGUGUCGUGGAGGUAGAGCACUGAUUGGGUGCGGGGCCCGCCAAGGGUUACCAAGUCUAGUCAAACUCCGAAUGCCAUCGACAUGCUUACCGGGAGUCAGACAGUGAGUGCUAAGAUCCAUUGUCAAGAGGGAAACAGCCCAGAUCAUCAGCUAAGGUCCCCAAGUGUGUGUUAAGUGGGAAAGGAUGUGGAGUUGCACAGACAACCAGGAUGUUGGCUUAGAAGCAGCCACCAUUUAAAGAGUGCGUAAUAGCUCACUGGUCGAGUGACUCUGCGCCGAAAAUGUAACGGGGCUAAACACACCACCGAAGCUAUGGCAUUGCAGCUUGCUGCAUUGGGUAGGGGAGCGUUGUAUAUAGGUUGAAGUCAGACCGUAAGGACUGGUGGACAGUAUACAAGUGAGAAUGCCGGUAUGAGUAACGAAAAGACAAGUGAGAAUCUUGUCCGCCGAAAGCCUAAGGGUUCCUGAGGAAGGCUCGUCCACUCAGGGUAAGUCGGGACCUAACGCGAGGCCGAAAGGCGUAGUGGAAGGACAACAGGUUGAAAUUCCUGUACCACCGAAGAUCGUUUGAGCGAUGGGGUGACACAGAAGGGCAGUGACGCGGGCUGAUGGAAUAGCCCGUCCAAGCAGUGAGGCUAGUUGAUAGGCAAAUCCGUCAACUGUUAGGCUGGGCUGUGAUGGGGAGCGAAAAUUGCAGUAGCGAAGGUCAUGUACUCCGGCUGUCGAGAAAAGCCUCUAGUUAGAUUUAGGUGCCCGUACCGCAAACCGACACAGGUAGGCGAGCAGAGCAUGCUAAGGCGCGCGGAAGAACUCUCGUUAAGGAACUCGGCAAAAUGACCCCGUAACUUCGGGAGAAGGGGUGCCUCGGUAGGGUGAAUAGCCCGAGGGGGCCGCAGUGAAAAGGCCCAAGCGACUGUUUAGCAAAAACACAGGUCUGUGCGAAGCCGUAAGGCGAAGUAUACGGGCUGACGCCUGCCCGGUGCUGGAAGGUUAAGGGGAGCGGUUAGGGGUAACCCGAAGCUGUGAACCGAAGCCCCAGUAAACGGCGGCCGUAACUAUAACGGUCCUAAGGUAGCGAAAUUCCUUGUCAGGUAAAUUCUGACCCGCACGAAUGGCGUAACGACUUGGGCGCUGUCUCAACGAGAGAUCCGGUGAAAUUUUAAUACCUGUGAAGAUGCAGGUUACCCGCGACAAGACGGAAAGACCCCAUGGAGCUUUACUGCAGCUUGAUAUUGGACUUUGGUACGAUCUGUACAGGAUAGGUGGGAGCCGUUGAAGCCGGAGCGCCAGCUUCGGUGGAGGCACCGUUGGGAUACCACCCUGAUCGUAUCGGAGUUCUAACCUGGCACCGUGAAACCGGUGCAGGGACCGUGUCAGGCGGGCAGUUUGACUGGGGCGGUCGCCUCCUAAAAUGUAACGGAGGCGCCCAAAGGUUCCCUCAGAAUGGUUGGAAAUCAUUCGAAGAGUGCAAAGGCAUAAGGGAGCUUGACUGCGAGACCUACAAGUCGAGCAGGGACGAAAGUCGGGCUUAGUGAUCCGGUGGUACCGCAUGGAAGGGCCAUCGCUCAACGGAUAAAAGCUACCCUGGGGAUAACAGGCUUAUCUCCCCCAAGAGUCCACAUCGACGGGGAGGUUUGGCACCUCGAUGUCGGCUCAUCGCAUCCUGGGGCUGAAGUAGGUCCCAAGGGUUGGGCUGUUCGCCCAUUAAAGCGGUACGCGAGCUGGGUUCAGAACGUCGUGAGACAGUUCGGUCCCUAUCUGUCGCGGGCGUAGGAAAUUUGAGAGGAGCUGUCCUUAGUACGAGAGGACCGGGAUGGACGUACCGCUGGUGUACCAGUUGUUCCGCCAGGAGCACCGCUGGGUAGCCAAGUACGGACGGGAUAAGCGCUGAAAGCAUCUAAGCGUGAAGCCCCCCUCAAGAUGAGAUUUCCCAAUUAGUAAGACCCCUUGAAGACGACGAGGUUGAUAGGUUCGGGGUGGAAGCACAGCAAUGUGUGGAGCUGACGAAUACUAAUCGGUCGAGGGCUUAUCCUA
rnacentral:rRNA from 1 species